rnacentral:lncRNA from 1 species
AUGUUGGUUCACUUUGGCUCCUGCCCUGGAUGCCACUUCCAUGACAUCACUUGGAGUGGAGGAGCUGUUAACCCAGGGCAUGCUGCUGCUGUGAUUUUCCCAGGAUGGCAGAGGAGCUGUGGUGGGAUCCUGAGGAGAACACGGAAUUUUCUUGGCUUCCUGCUGGCAGUGCCAGGGCGGUGUUUGGCACCUCUGCAGGGCUGGCAGUGCCCCUGUCCCUCACCCAGGCUGGCAGUGCCCCUGUCCCUCUCGGGGCAUCCCGGGCUGCAGCAGCUCCUCCCCAGGUGCAGGAGGGAGGGAAGGAAGGAUGUGUUUUAUCAAAGUCAGUCCCUGCUGUUUGAGUUCCUGCUCUGCCGCUCGAUAUCAUCUCAAAACCAACACGGGAGCUGUGGUGGGAUCCUGAGGAGAUCAUGGAAUUUUCUUGGCUCCCUGCUGGCACUUCCAGGGAUCCAGGAGCAGCCACAGUUUCUCUGGGAAUCUUUUCCAGAGCCUCCCCUCCCUCACUGGGGAAAAUUCAAACCUAAAUCCAACCUAAAUCCUUCUCCAGAGCCCCCCUGAGAUGAUGUUCCCUGCUCUCUCUUCAUUCUGAAAAAUCCUUCUCUCUUCAUUUUGAAAAAUCUCCAUUUUUUGCUCCCACCAAAGCCUUUCCUGCUGCCUCUCUCCCUUUCCAUGGAUUUCCUCCUCUGCUUCCUCCCCUCUCCUCUCCCACUCUCCCUUGCUUGAAAUCCAUGGAAAAAAAUGUGCAGCCUCCCCGAGAGAACCCCUUGGCAAAGUCAUAACUUGUUAAGCGCCGUAAUUAAAAUAUUUCUCUCAUUAACUUGGAAAUGAUGUUUCUUCCUGAAUUAUGCCGGAGAUUUUUUUUUUCCCCCCUCACUAAUUAAAUUGCCAGUUUCAACAAAACUGUUCCAGAUCCAUGGGAUCCCAGGCCGAGCAGGAAAAUCCUUCUCCGAAGGAUUCCAGAUCCUUCUGUGCCACGCGGAGCAUCCUCCUCAAGCAGCAGCCGGGCACAAAUGUCCCCAGCUCCUUGUAGGAAAAGCAGGAAUAUUUUUGAGGGUUUUGGUGGUUUGCUGGCUGUUUGGGGAUGUCCCUGCAGGGUCCUGGCAG